rnacentral:misc_RNA from 1 species
AACGCAAGUUGCGCUCUCGUGGUCACCCCCCGAGAGCACGUUCGCUUGAGUGCCGCCAUCAUCACUAAGGGUUCUAUACCUACUCCUCUCCGUUUGCGCGUCGAGGGACUCGGGCCUCUUGCCGUGGUGCAUAUCACGCAUGGCCUCAGAUGGUGUGCCGACCGCUAUCGUGUGACCACUUUGCUUCCGCGUGUUGAUCGCAUUGAUGCGUUUCUUGCUCGCUCGGUGCUUAUGCAUCGAGUUGUGGUGGUUGCGUACUACUGUGAUUGAUUAUGCGUUCGCCGAGCCUGCACGAAUAGUAUAACACUCAUAACCGGCCUCAAGUCGAGCGACAGCACCCGCCGAAUUUAA